AGUUGAACUCAAAAAUAAAGUUGC
rnacentral:siRNA from 1 species